AUCAUACAGUGCCCCGUCUACCACCGGAUGUCAUACCCUUUGUUGUCCGACUCUGUUGCCUCCGGGGCGACCCUGCCUUCGGGCGGGGGCUCCGGGUGGACACUUCAAACUCUUGCGUAACUUUGCAGUCUGAGUAAAUUUAAUUAAUAAAUUAAAACUUUUAACAACGGAUCUCUUGGUUCUGGCAUCGAUGAAGAACGCAGCGAAAUGCGAUAAGUAAUGUGAAUUGCAGAAUUCAGUGAAUCAUCGAAUCUUUGAACGCACAUUGCGCCCCCUGGUAUUCCGGGGGGCAUGCCUGUUCGAGCGUCAUUUCACCACUCAAGCCUCGCUUGGUAUUGGGCAACGCGGUCCGCCGCGUGCCUCAAAUCGACCGGCUGGGUCUUCUGUCCCCUAAGCGUUGUGGAAACUAUUCGCUAAAGGGUGCUCGGGAGGCUACGCCGUAAAACAAACCCAUUUCUAAGGUUGACCUCGGAUCAGGUAGGGAUACCCGCUGAACUUAAGCAUAUCAAUAA
rnacentral:misc_RNA from 1 species